rnacentral:rRNA from 1 species
AACGAACGCUGGCGGCAUGCCUAACACAUGCAAGUCGAACGAGACCUUCGGGUCUAGUGGCGCACGGGUGCGUAACGCGUGGGAACCUGCCCUUAGGUUCGGAAUAACUCCCCGAAAGGGGUGCUAAUACCGGAUAAUGUCUUCGGACCAAAGAUUUAUCGCCUUUGGAUGGGCCCGCGUUGGAUUAGCUAGUUGGUAGGGUAAAAGCCUACCAAGGCGACGAUCCAUAGCUGGUCUGAGAGGAUGAUCAGCCACACUGGGACGGAGACACGGCCCAGACUAUGGGGGGAGGAAGCAGGAGGGAAGCUUACGAAAUGGGGGAAAGCCGGAGGGAGAAACGCGGCGUGAGUGAUGAAGGGCUUAGGACCGGAAAAAGCUGUGAGGAGGGAAGAAGAAAUGGGUAAGUAACUAUGCACGGCGAGACGGUACCGAAUCAGAAAGCCACGGCUAACUACGUG